AGAUCAGAAGCUGUCACCUUGAAGACUUUGGAUGUGUAAUGCAGGAGGGAGCAGAAGAGUGUGACAUUUCCUCAAAUACUGAAAUGUAAGAUUGUACCACCAUAGAGCAGGAACCAAGCACUCCCUGCAACAUUCGCUUACCCCCAGAAGGAUCUGUUAGGUAUCUUCAUGGAAAAUGGAACAUACUGGGAUAUCAAAUAGGCACUGAGAAAAACGGAAAGCACUGCCUACUCCUCGAGACUUUCCAAACUGUUUGGAUAAGGAGCAAUCUGUCCUGAUGACCAAGAUUAUUUAUUCAAGCCGCAGAGAACAACUUCUUUUUCUUCAGUGUUCAAGGUACAUGGAGGACUCCAUUUGGAAAAUAAAAGGCAGUUACUGAUCAACAAGCAGGACUAUAGAUGGAAGAACUUUGGUACAAAAAAAAAGUAAGAAGAAAUGGUGACAAU